GUUCGGCCAUAUCGAAGCAGGAUGGCGGCUAAAUUAUGCCUGUCUUCCUGUCAAAAAUUGGCCAAUAGCAAAAAUAGCUCCGUCGACGGUCAUUGGGAAUCUUGAACUACGUGUGGUUCACCAAUAACAUUUUUGGCGGAGUACAAUU